GGUAAGGCCAUGAUCCGCAGGGGAACAGAUCACUCAUUCUUCCAUUGGGGACAGGUGCACGAACGACAACUCCAAACGUCACACAUCCGCCGCCUACCUACCGUUUAGGUGGCACCAGCGAGAUCCAGCUAAGGUAAGGAACUUCGUGUCGCGGCUGCUCCACUCCGCUGCGCUGCGGUCUCAUGAACUGAACUUCGUUGCCUUCCCGCGCGCGAAGCGAAUGG
rnacentral:lncRNA from 1 species